rnacentral:rRNA from 2 species
GGUAAUGAUGGCAGAGAGGUCACACCCGUUCCCAUACCGAACACGGAAGUUAAGCUCUCUAGCGCCGAUGGUAGUUGGGACCUUGUCCCUGUGAGAGUAGGACGUUGC